rnacentral:rRNA from 1 species
UACAGAGGUCUCAAGCAUUGUUCGGAUUCAUUGGGCGUAAAGGGUGCGUAGGCGGCGCGGUGAGUCGGAUGUGAAAUCUCGGAGCUUAACUCCGAAACUGCAUUCGAUACUGCCGUGCUUGAGGACUGGAGAGGAGACUGGAAUUUACGGUGUAGCGGUGAAAUGCGUAGAUAUCGUAAGGAAGACCGAGUGGACGGAAGG